CCGGCGGGAGCCGAGCCCACAGCAGGGCACACCGAGUUAAGGACAUCGAGGCCGCGGCUCUACCCCGAGCCGGGAGAAGCCCGGCGACUGGGCGCCGAACAGUGACGCGCGCCGGCGCCCGCAGAGCGAAAGGACCCAGAGCGGGCGCAGGACUGUCCCAGUGCACGCCUGACCGUAAAGGCGAUGUAAGGGCAGGAAGCUCGCUCUCUUCACGGAAGAAUGACGUCUGUAAGGUAUACUGGAGGAAACGAGAUCCCAUUCUCUCAGUCUUUCUGCGGCAAUUGGCAGCAGCUUUCUCUAAAGAAGGAAAAAUAAUCAGGCAUCUUUAGGGACGCCACAUAUGAGCCGAGGGGAACCUUGCAAGAGUCGUCAUGUGACCAAACUGGCCACUACAGUGAGCCAGCAUCCAGUAGCACGUGGUUUUAAGCGCUAAAGUCCAUUUCCAAGAAAAUUGGUGCUUUAUUAUCCUUAGUUUCCUGGUAGGAUAAUGUUGGAGGUUAGAGCUUGACCGGUUACAGAUCAAGACGGUUUGCAGAGAAAUUUCGUCGUACGACACUCCAGACUGCCUGCAGAUGUUAUCAAUAUGUCAACUUUCUUGUAUGGAGUUUCUCACCUUGCCUGAAGCUUUCAGGUCAUUAACCCUUCAGCCCUGACACCCUCCGCCCCAUACACACACAACUGACCCCCAGACCUCCACUUCCUAUCUUGCUUGACAGAACAAAGAGUUUUCUCCUUCCUUGCAGGGAAAUGAUGCUUGUUUUUGUCUCUGUAAACCAUAUUUUCUUACAUGGGUCUGAGAGUUCUUUGUGGCAGAAGCAUACUCUUAGUUGCUUAAAUAAAGGACUCUCUCGCUUGGCCUUCUA